AGAGUUUGAUCCUGGCUCAGAUUGAACGCUGGCGGCAUGCUUUACACAUGCAAGUCGAACGGCAGCACAGGGAGCUUGCUCCCGGGUGGCGAGUGGCGCACGGGUGAGUAAUACAUCGGAACGUGUCCUGUUAUGGGGGAUAACUGCUCGAAAGGGUGGCUAAUACCGCAUGAGAACCUGAGGGUGAAAGCGGGGGAUCGCAAGACCUCGCGCAAUUGGAGCGGCCGAUGCCCGAUUAGCUAGUUGGUGAGGUAAAGGCUCACCAAGGCGACGAUCGGUAGCUGGUCUGAGAGGACGACCAGCCACCACUGGGACUGAGACACGGCCCAGACUCCUACGGGAGGCAGCA
rnacentral:rRNA from 1 species